UCAUUUUGGCUUUCCUUUGGCAUACAUGUGGCCUCUUUGGGCUUUGUUUGGCACAGGAAAAGGCCACUCAAAGGUUUUUGGGCAACCUGUGGCUUAAUUAUGAUCUGCCUUAAUUCUGGCCAAGUUAUGGAUUACGUCUGGUUAGCCAGCCGACAAGGUGAUGAGCGGGACCGCAUCUCAUGACUUGCGCGUGCGUUCUUUGGGCGACCUAUGGCUUAAUUAUGAUUUGCCAUAAUAAAUAAAGGGCGCCAUGUAAUUCUGGCUAAGUUAUGGAUUACGUCUGGUUAACCAGCCGACAAUGUGAUGAGCGGGACCGCAUCUCAUGAUUCAUGGGUGAGCUUUGGCUGUAUCAUGGCUUGCCAAAAGAAUGCACAGAGACCGGGAAUUUUGAACAUUUGAAUUGCCCAGAGAAGAGCCUCCAUCAGUUUGCCGUUGUGAUAACUGAAGCUCUUCUGCGUGACCUGUUGGUGAACCAACAAAUCCUGUUGGACCAGCAGAGGAGCAUGUGAUACAAAUAAUUCAAGACCUACACUAAUCCAUCAAGAUGUCCCCCACCUCCAGGCAUAUUGCCUAUUUUCCCCUGGGUGACACACAGGUUCUGGAGGCCUUGGAGGGUGACCUGGCAACCCAGCGGGACCUUCGUCAGGAAUUGGUCAUCACUAUAGGAUUGGCAGGGGGAGCCGAUGUCAAAGAUUUCUUUUUUUUUGAGAAACUGCAUCUGAAGGCAGUAGUGAUGGAUGCAGUGAGGCGCAAUCCAACCUGCUCGGCUGCUACAGAUUUACAGAUCGGCUACAAAGGCUACGAAGAGAUGGUUUUACUGGGCGCGAUGCGAGGAAAAAACGUCAGCCGGCUCCCAACCAGGAGCUGCAAACUGAAU